rnacentral:rRNA from 1 species
GCUCGUGUCGUGAGAUGUUGGGCUAAGUCCCGCAACGAGCGCAACCCUUGUCUUUAGUUACCAUCAUUAAGUUGGGGACGUCUAGAGAGACUGCCGGUGAUAAACCGGAGGAAGGUGGGGAUGACGUCAAAUCAUCAUGCCCCUUAUGACCUGGGCUACACACGUACUACAAUGGCGCAUACAACGAGCUGCGAGAUGGUGACAUCAAGCGAAUCUCUUAAAAUGCGUCUCAGUUCGGAUUGGAGUCUGCAACUCGACUCCAUGAAGUCGGAAUCGCUAGUAAUCGCGGAUCAGCAUGCCGCGGUGAAUACGUUCUCGGGGUUU